UGAGUAACGCGUAGGUAACCUGCCUUUUCGUGGGGGAUAACCAGAAGAAAUUCUGGCUAAUACCGCAUAAGUAGUCUGACAUGGGAAAAAGACUAGAAAGAGUGCCUCUACUUGUAAGCACUUGCGAAGAGAUGGGCCUGCGUUGCAUUAGCUUGUUGGUGGGGUAAUGGCCUACCAAGGCAACGAUGCAUAGCUGGUCUGAGAGGAUGAUCAGUCACACUGGAACUGAGACACGGUCCAGACUCC
rnacentral:rRNA from 1 species